CUGAAGUGAAUCUAAAGGAAUUUAGGAGAACUGUUGGUUCUUGGUUUGGUGACAUUUAUCAAGACAGGGCUACAGGAAGAAAAGCGGGUUUGGUAGGAGUUGGAGGAGAGGAUAAAGGAAGAACUCCUGACAUCCUCAGGUCCUGAGUGCAACACCCACGUAUUGACAGGUAAGUCAUCAUAUACAUGGAUCUGGAGCAGAAAGAUCUGGGCUAUAAAUAUCAACUUGGUGAUUACUAGUGUGUAGAAAGCAGUUAAUUGUAGGGCAUGAGAACACAAGAAGACUGAAAACGAAACCACAAACAAUGACUCAUUUUAAGAGAUGGAAGAAGGAAGAAGUGGGCUAUGUAUGGCACACAACUUUACUCCCCUCGUCUGCUUCCUUCUUCCCAAAGGCACCUCUCACCUGCUGGGCUGCUGCUGCCUCUGCUGGGUUCCCUGGAGUCAGAAUAGAAGCCCCAGAACUGCAUGACCUGCACAACCUCUGAUCUGCACUGGUUUCUCCUCACUCUCAGACAAGAUGAAAUGUCAUACCACAGAGCAUGAAAUCUUGCUUCUGUAGCUGGUGUCAAUGGACCAGACUACAUCAAGGUUGGGAUCUCUCCCUAUGGCCAUGGCAGAGAAGCUCUGUGGCUCAAGGAAUCUACUGAAGUCACCUGCUGUUUCUCAUCAUGGCUUGUCGAAAGUAGUGCCAUCAUGGUAACACAUCACACUGAA